AUAAUCGUACUUCCGAAAAUCUUUGAAACAAAAAAAAAAAUUUUUAAAAAAACUUGGUCCACCACGCUCACAUAAUGAACCUAAAUACAAAAUAAUUAGAUCUAUAUAGAUAUAGGAUAUUCUGGGGUCUAAAUCUAGAUCUGUGGUAUAGAGAUUAAUACUCAAAAUACUACAAAUAUGUAUCAUAACAAUGCAAAGACCCUUCUAAAACAAGAAAUAUAAAAAACGAACAGAUUACAAUGGGCAAGUCACCUUGAAAGAAUGUCAGAGAUAAGAGGAGCAAAAAUAGUAUGCCAGCAAAAACCAAAAGGAUGGCUUGAUGAUGUAGAGGCAGAUCUACAGAAGCUAAGAGUUCAGGCAUGGAUACGAAAAGCACAGAUAGAGAUCUGAUUGUAUUGAAGCAGGCCAAGGCCCUCCAUUGGCUGUAGUGCUACAGGGAUGGAUUGAUGCAUACAUCUCAGCUCUCUAUGCUUUUUAGGAGGAUUAAAUAAAAAUGAAAAGGGUCAAGAUGGUAAGUUCUAAAAAGGAUUAGAUAAAUAAUUUUAUAGCAUGACCCACAGACAGUGAGUGUCUGUGCUUUUAAUAACAUCUAUCUAUAAGUAUCAAAUAUACCAUAGCAAGAUCCUCUGGCAAUAUUACUUUUAAAAUGUAGUAUGACCAAUUUAAAUAGCAUUUUUCUUUAUUUAUAUUCAAAAUUGAUUUGGACAAUGUCAUUGCAUAUUUACAGAUGAAAAUGUUUGACCUAUUUGCAAAUGGUUAAUUAGGCUUUGUAUGAAAGUUUAAUUCAUUAAUACAUUUUUGUAAAUACCUUUUAUCUAUGCUUCUUUUUUUCUUUCUUUGACCUGCGACUUGUAUGAUCAUGUGCAGACUUAGUGGAAAUGUGAGGUACUAAUGCUGGAGAAAUCUGUAAUGAAUCAGCACUCUGAAAAAAACAACAACUAAAGACUAAAUAAAAAUAAAUGAAGGGACAUUUUAAAUGUCUAAAGUUUCCAUAAUUUUUUAAUAAGUUGAGUCAGACAAUCUUUUUUUUUUCAAUCAAAAUACUAACAAGCAACAAAUCUAAUUAGAAUCUAUUACAAAGUUAAAAAGAUUUUUUUUUUCAUAAGCAAUAGGGUAAAUGGCAUAAUUAACUAUAGUACAAGAUAGUUUCCUAGUCAUAUGACAAGCUUCUUAACAGUAGUACAGAUUCAGAAAUGCAUAAUGAUGUAUUUUUAAUAAGUUUUUCUGAAAUCUUAAAAAAAAAUCUUAUAAAGCAUUUUAUAAUAUAUGUAUAUAUCUAUAUUGUUAUAACCCUAUUGGCGGCGUCAAAGGGUUAACUGUAGGUUCAGCUGUCACAUGUGAACUCAGGCGAUGGACAAGGGACAGUACUACGGUUACACGCAAAUAUGACCAAUGUUAUGGUCAUGUGAUCGAGAGCCUGCGUGGACCAGAGACACAGUGUGUAAGAAAGCGGCAGUUCAAGACCGGAGACUGGGACUGUUAGUCGGCCAUGAAGUCGGUCCUGGUUGUAUCCUCAAGUGUUAUGUAUGAGUCCAGGAAGAGAUAGAGACAGUAGAGUUUUGUACGGUGAUGUACAAUGUAACAUUUUAGUUGAUGUGUUGCCAAUAGUCUAGUAUUGGCUGUUAUCUACUUAUCCAUUCAUUAAAGUACCAGAUUAUUUU